UACGUAGGGGGCAAGCGUUGUCCGGAUUUAUUGGGCGUAAAGAGCGUGUAGGCGGCCAGACAGGUCCGUUGUGAAAACUCGAGGCUCAACCUCGAGACGCCGAUGGAAACCGUCUGGCUAGAGUCCGGAAGAGGAGAGUGGAAUUCCUGGUGUAGCGGUGAAAUGCGCAGAUAUCAGGAAGAACACCCGUGGCUAAGGCGGCUCUCUAGUACGGUACUGACGCUGAGACGCGAAAGCGUGGGUAGCGAACAGG
rnacentral:rRNA from 1 species